rnacentral:rRNA from 1 species
AUUGACCGCUGGCGGCAGGCCUCACACAUGCAAGUCGAACGAGUGGCGGACGGGUGAGUAAUGUCUGGGAAACUGCCUGAUGGAGGGGGAUAACUACUGGAAACGGUAGCUAAUACCGCAUACCAUCAGAUGUGCCCAGAUGGGCUUAGCUAGUUGGUGGGGUAACGGCUCACCUAGGCGACGAUCCCUAGCUGGUCUGAGAGGAUGACCAGCAAAACUGGAACUGAGACACGGUCCAGACUCCUACGGGGGGCAGAAGUGGGGAAUAUGGCACAAUGGGCGCAAGCCGGAUGCAGCCAUGCCGCGGGUAUGAAGAAGGCCUUCGGGUUGUAAAGUACUUUCAGCGGGGAGGCGUUACCCGCAGAAGAAGCACCGGCUAACUCCGUGCCAGCAGCCGCGGUAAUUC